AAGACUAUAGACCUGCGGAGUACCUGCGGAAGGAUCAUUACCGAGUGCGGGCCCUCUGGGUCCAACCUCCCACCCGUGUCUAUUGUACCUUGUUGCUUCGGCGGGCCCGCCAUUCUGGCCGCCGGGGGGCUUGCCCCCGGGCCCGCGCCCGCCGAAGACACCCUCGAACUCUGUCUGAAGAUUGUAGUCUGAGUGGAAUUAUAAAUUAUUAAAACUUUUAGCAAUGGAUCUCUAGAUCGG
rnacentral:misc_RNA from 1 species